rnacentral:rRNA from 1 species
ACCCAUGUGGUGCGAAGCAAUCGGAAGUGGUUCCAAGAAAAGCCUCUAAGCUUCAGUCAUACGAGACCGUACCGCAAACCGACACAGGUGGGCGAGAUGAGUAUUCUAAGGCGCUUGAGAGAACUCGGGAGAAGGAACUCGGCAAAUUGGUACCGUAACUUCGGGAUAAGGUACGCCCCGGUAGCUUGACUGCUUUACUGCAGAAGGGUGAAAGGGUUGCAAUAAACUGGUGGCUGCGACUGUUUAAUAAAAACACAGCACUCUGCAAACACGAAAGUGGACGUAUAGGGUGUGACGCCUGCCCGGUGCUGGAAGAUUAAAUGAUGGGGUGCAAGCUCUUGAUUGAAGUCCCAGUAAACGGCGGCCGUAACUAUAACGGUCCUAAGGUAGCGAAAUUCCUUGUCGGGUAAGUUCCGACCUGCACGAAUGGCGUAACGAUGGCCACACUGUCUCCUCCCGAGACUCAGCGAAGUUGAAAUGUUUGUGAUGAUGCAAUCUACCCGCGGCUAGACGGAAAGACCCCAUGAACCUUUACUGUAGCUUUACAUUGGACUUUGAACCAAUCUGUGUAGGAUAGGUGGGAGGCUUUGAAGCAGGGACGCCAGUUCCUGUGGAGCCAUCCUUGAAAUACCACCCUGGUUCGUUUGAGGUUCUAACCUUGGCCCGUUAUCCGGGUCGGGGACAGUGUAUGGUAGGCAGUUUGACUGGGGCGGUCUCCUCCUAAAGUGUAACGGAGGAGUUCGAAGGUACGCUAGGUACGGUCGGACAUCGUGCUAAUAGUGCAAUGGCAUAAGCGUGCUUAACUGCGAGACCGACAAGUCGAGCAGGUACGAAAGUAGGACAUAGUGAUCCGGUGGUUCUGUAUGGAAGGGCCAUCGCUCAACGGAUAAAAGGUACUCUGGGGAUAACAGGCUGAUUCCUCCCAAGAGUUCAUAUCGACGGGGGAGUUUGGCACCUCGAUGUCGGCUCAUCACAUCCUGGGGCUGUAGCCGGUCCCAAGGGUAUGGCUGUUCGCCAUUUAAAGUGGUACGUGAGCUGGGUUUAAAACGUCGUGAGACAGUUUGGUCCCUAUCUGCCGUGGGCGUUGGAAAUUUGAAGGGGGCUGCUCCUAGUACGAGAGGACCGGAGUGGACGAACCUCUGGUGUACCGGUUGUCACGCCAGUGGCAUUGCCGGGUAGCUAAGUUCGGAAGAGAUAACCGCUGAAAGCAUCUAAGCGGGAAACUUGCCUUGAGAUGAGAUUUCCCGGAGCCUUGAGCUCCUUGAAGGGUCGUUCGAGACCAGGACGUUGAUAGGCUGGGUGUGGAAGUGCAGUAAUGCAUUAAGCUAACCAGUACUAAUUGCCCGUACGGCUUGUCCCU